AUUGAACGCUGGCGGCAUGCCUUACACAUGCAAGUCGAACGGCAGCACGGGUGCUUGCACCUGGUGGCGAGUGGCGAACGGGUGAGUAAUACAUCGGAACGUACCUUAUCGUGGGGGAUAACGCAGCGAAAGCUGUGCUAAUACCGCAUACGCCCUGAGGGGGAAAGCGGGGGAUCGAAAGACCUCGCGCGAUUAGAGCGGCCGAUGCCUGAUUAGCUUGUUGGUGGGGUAAAAGCCCACCAAGGCGACGAUCAGUAACUGGUCUGAGAGGACGAUCAGCCACACUGGGACUGAGACACGGCCCAGACUCCUACGGGAGGCAGCAGUGGGGAAUUUUGGACAAUGGGGGCAACCCUGAUCCAGCAAUGCCGCGUGAGUGAAGAAGGCCUUCGGGUUGUAAAGCUCUCUUGUCAGGGAAGAAACACCGGCUCUAACACAGUCCGGGAAUGACGGUACCUGAAGAAUAAGCACCGGCUAACUACGUGCCAGCAGCCGCGGUAA
rnacentral:rRNA from 1 species